rnacentral:rRNA from 1 species
UCCCGUAACAAUAAAUAUGAUGAUCCCAGCGCUCUACUAGAAAGGUUGCAUCUGGAGGAUGACGAACUUGAUAAUAUGAUCUGGGAGGAGGAAGUCGACGACCCGGAGAAGAAGCCGAAGUGGUUAGCCCUUGCAAGACUAUUGACUAUAAAAACUUUUAGUCAAGGAGCACUAAUUGCGGAUGUAAGAGUCGCAUGGCACUCAACGAGGGAUGUGGUGUGGAGAAGGACUAGUGCCGACCUCUUCUCGGUGCAAUUCAAUUGCUUAGCUGAUUGGAAUAAGGCUAUCGACCAAGGCCCUUGGGAUUUCCAAGGUACGACUCUGAUAAUUGCUGAAUAUGACAGUUUUACUAAUCUGGAAAGUGCUAAAUUGGACAAGAUCGAAACCUGGUGUCAAAUACAUAGCCUGCCAGAUGGAGUUUUGAAGAGGAAAUAG